rnacentral:rRNA from 1 species
UACGGAGGGUGCAAGCGUUUAAUCGGAAUUACUGGGCGUAAAGCGUGCGUAGGCGGUUCGUUAAGUCUGUUGUGAAAGCCCCGGGCUCAACCUGGGAAUGGCAAUGGAUACUGGCGAGCUAGAGUGUGUCAGAGGAUGGUGGAAUUCCCGGUGUAGCGGUGAAAUGCGUAGAGAUCGGGAGGAACAUCAGUGGCGAAGGCGGCCAUCUGGGGACAACACUGGCGCUGAGGCACGAAAGCGUGGGGAGCAAACAGG